rnacentral:rRNA from 1 species
UCGCCCGCCGCGCGCGGCGGGCGGGGCGGGGGCACGGGGGGCCUACGGGAGGCAGCAGUAGGGAAUAUUGCACAAUGGAGGAAACUCUGAUGCAGCGACGCCGCGUGAGUGAUGAAGGACUUCGGUUCGUAAAGCUCUGUCGUAUGGGAAUAAGAAAGUGAAUGUACCAUGCAAGAAAGGAUCGGCUAACUUCGUGCCAGCAGCCGCGGUAAUA